GUCGAGCGAACAGAUGAGGAGCUUGCUCCUCUGACGUUAGCGGCGGACGGGUGAGUAACACGUGGAUAACCUACCUAUAAGACUGGGAUAACUACGGGAAACCGGAGCUAAUACCGGAUAAUAUAUUGAACCGCAUGGUUCAAUAGUGAAAGACGGUUUUGCUGUCACUUAUAGAUGGAUCCGCGCCGCAUUAGCUAGUUGGUAAGGUAACGGCUUACCAAGGCAACGAUGCGUAGCCGACCUGAGAGGGUGAUCGGCCACACUGGAACUGAGACACGGUCCAGACUCCUACGGGAGGCAGCAGUAGGGAAUCUUCCGCAAUGGGCGAAAGCCUGACGGAGCAACGCCGCGUGAGUGAUGAAGGUCUUCGGAUCGUAAAACUCUGUUAUUAGGGAAGAACAAAUGUGUAAGUAACUAUGCACGUCUUGACGGUACCUAAUCAGAAAGCCACGGCUAACUACGUGCCAGCAGCCGCGGUAAUACGUAGGUGGCAAGCGUUAUCCGGAAUUAUUGGGCGUAAAGCGCGCGUAGGCGGUUUUUUAAGUCUGAUGUGAAAGCCCACGGCUCAACCGUGGAGGGUCAUUGGAAACUGGAAAACUUGAGUGCAGAAGAGGAAAGUGGAAUUCCAUGUGUAGCGGUGAAAUGCGCAGAGAUAUGGAGGAACACCAGUGGCGAAGGCGACCUUCUGGUCU
rnacentral:rRNA from 1 species